ACGGGAGGCAGCAGUGGGGGAUAUUGCACAAUGGAGGAAACUCUGAUGCAGCAACGCCGCGUGAAGGAUGAAGGUCUUCGGAUUGUAAACUUCUGUCCUUAGGGAAGAUAAUGACGGUACCUUUGGAGGAAGCCCCGACUAACUACGUGCCAGCAGCCGCGGUAAUACGUAAGGGGCAAGCGUUAUCCGGAAUUAUUGGGCGUAAAGGGUGCGUAGGUGGUUACCUAAGCAGGGGGUGAAAGGCAUUGGCUUAACCAAUGUUAGCCCCCUGAACUGGGCUACUUGAGUACAGGAGGGGAAAGUGGAAUUCCUAGUGUAGCGGUGAAAUGCGUAGAUAUUAGGAGGAACACCGGUGGCGAAGGCGACUCUCUGGACUGUUACUGACACUGAGGCACGAAAGUGUGGGGAGCAAACAGGAUUAGAUACCCUGGUA
rnacentral:rRNA from 1 species